CCCGCGGCGUAUUAGCUAGAUGGUGGGGUAACGGCUCACCAUGGCAAUGAUACGUAGCCGACCUGAGAGGGUAAUCGGCCACAUUGGGACUGAGACACGGCCCAAACUCCUACGGGAGGCAGCAGUAGGGAAUCUUCCACAAUGGACGAAAGUCUGAUGGAGCAACGCCGCGUGAGUGAAGAAGGGUUUCGGCUCGUAAAACUCUGUUGUUAAAGAAGAACAUAUCUGAGAGUAACUGUUCAGGUAUUGACGGUAUUUAACCAGAAAGCCACGGCUAACUACGUGCCAGCAGCCGCGGUAAUACGUAGGUGGCAAGCGUUGUCCGGAUUUAUUGGGCGUAAAGCGAGCGCAGGCGGUUUUUUAAGUCUGAUGUGAAAGCCUUCGGCUCAACCGAAGAAGUGCAUCGGAAACUGGGAAACUUGAGUGCAGAAGAGGACAGUGGAACUCCAUGUGUAGCGGUGAAAUGCGUAGAUAUAUGGAAGAACACCAGUGGCGAAGGCGGCUGUCUGGUCUGUAACUGACGCUGAGCUCGA
rnacentral:rRNA from 1 species